GACGAACGCUGGCGGCGUGCUUAACACAUGCAAGUCGAACGGUGAACUCCGCUUUCGGGGGGAUCAGUGGCGAACGGGUGAGUAACACGUGGGCAACCUGCCCUCAGCUCUGGGAUAACCCCAAGAAAAUGGGGCCAAUACCGGAAAUGACCGCUGACCGCAUGGUCUGGUGGCGGAAAGACUUAUCGGCUGGGGAUGGGCUCGGGGGCAAUCAGCUUGUUGGUGGGGUAGUGGCAAACCAAGGCGACGACGGGUACCCGGCCUGGGAGGGUGACCGGCGACACUGGGACUGAGACACGGCCCAGACUCCUACGGGAGGCAGCAGUGGAGAAUAUUGCGCAAUGGGCGAAAGCCUGACGCAGCGACGCCGCGUGGGGGAUGACGGCCUUCGGGUUGUAAACCUCUUUCAGCAGGGACGAAGCGAAAGUGACGGUACCUGCAGAAGAAGCACCGGCCAACUACGUG
rnacentral:rRNA from 1 species